GCACCUUACACACCUGCACAUGUCUGUAGGAAAUAUAGAAGGAGAAUACUAUCUUUAGAGAAUGCUCAAGUUUUAUAUAGGCUACUUAAGGCCACUUGAGAUGAUUACAAUCAUCAACUACAUCUCUAUUUAUACUACUAAUAAUGUAAAUCAAAGGUCUUGCACAAAUAACUAGAUACAUGUAUCACAAUUUACUAGAUACAUGUAUUACGAAAUUCUAAAAGACUUCUUGAAAAACUAAGAGACAAUUUUGGAAGACUAAACAUUAAUGUGGAUGCAUUAAUUCCAACACUACUCCCC
rnacentral:lncRNA from 1 species